rnacentral:lncRNA from 1 species
AAGUAUAAACGCGAGUAGAAACACUUAGCUGGAUAAAUGGGGGUGCUCUCCCCCAAGCUAGAUUUUGACGUAAUUUCUUCUGAUGUAGCUAGCAGGUGACGGAGGUGUAUUUGAAUGUCGGUAGCACCCUGACAGCGAUUAGAAUGUCCUCCGUUUGCUAGUCUUCUUUGAUCCUUGAAUUCUGUGGAGCUCAAAUAGACAACAAAACUUUGUGGAACUGGUUAAGUGUUAGCAUAAAAUCUCUUAGCCUUUAUCAUAUUGAGAUUCCUCUAGUAAAUAUUACUCUCUUUGGUAGGAUCAUAAAUUUAUUUUUAUAUUUUCAUUUCUAUAGGAUAGGAAUAUAUUUAUUUUAUUUUUACGCCACCACAGUGAAUGUACUUAUGGGUUUCAUGCCACGAGCAUACUCACAUGGGGCUUAGUAUUUUUAACAUUUUUAUUUUCUUUUCAAGAUGAUAUGAACCUGAUUAACUAAGCAAACUAUUUUUAAAUAAUUGAAAGGAAAAGGAUAACUACCAAGUUUACCUCUUGGCAAGUUCGGUGUUUUUAAAUCCUCCGAACGGGACUCUCCGUUUUCUCAUUCGUCCUGGGAUUCGCUGGAUGGCGUAGUCAGUGGUUCCGGCGGCGCCUGGUCUUCGUGUAUAACUAUCUUCUCUCUACACACCUGACUCGGUGCUACGGUCUCCUCAGGACAGUUCUGUUCAAGCUGUAUGUCUUCAGACAUUGCCACUUCUUCGUAGUCUGCCCAUCCGUCCUUGAUGAUUUGCCUCCUCUGGUUGUGGUUGCGUCGUCUUCUUCUUGACCUGACCUGCUUAGGGUCUUCAACUAUAUAGUUCGAGUCAGUAAAAUAGCGGGGUACCUUCUCAGAGGGGAAGUGCAUGUGGACUUCUCCAGUUCCAAUGUAGAUGAUUGCUUUAACGGUGCUGAGGAACGGUCUUCCAAGGAUGAUGGGUGGAUCGUACUUGUCUUCAACCUUUCAGAAUGUCUGAUUUUCCAUCUAGAGCUGAAUGUAUGUCGGUUUCAGGGGCAUGGUUCCGAAUAGGAGCUGAUAGGUGACUGGGUCGUCCUUUUUGGUCAGGAACGGUGACUUAAAUCAACGAUCUUGACCUCCUUGAACUGCAGUGACCAUCUUAGCUGACUCGGUCCACAUUUGCUUGUUCCUGUUCCUCCUGUUGAUCCUCUUCCUUGGUUCAUGUCG